rnacentral:rRNA from 1 species
CCUACGGGAGGCAGCAGUGGGGAAUUUUGGACAAUGGACGCAAGUCUGAUCCAGCCAUGCCGCGUGCGGGAAGAAGGCCUUCGGGUUGUAAACCGCUUUUGUCAGGGAAGAAACGGCUUUCUCUAAUACAGAAGGCUAAUGACGGUACCUGAAGAAUAAGCACCGGCUAACUACGUGCCAGCAGCCGCGGUAAUACGUAGGGUGCAAGCGUUAAUCGGAAUUACUGGGCGUAAAGCGUGCGCAGGCGGUUAUGCAAGACAGAUGUGAAAUCCCCGGGCUCAACCUGGGAACUGCAUUUGUGACUGCAUGGCUAGAGUACGGUAGAGGGGGAUGGAAUUCCGCGUGUAGCAGUGAAAUGCGUAGAUAUGCGGAGGAACACCGAUGGCGAAGGCAAUCCCCUGGACCUGUACUGACGCUCAUGCACGAAAGCGUGGGGAGCAAACAGGAUUAGAUACCCUGGUAGUCCACGCCCUAAACGAUGUCAACUGGUUNUUGGGAGGGUUUCUUCUCAGUAACGAAGCUAACGCGUGAAGUUGACCGCCUGGGGAGUACGGCCGCAAGGUUGAAACCUUAAAGGAAUUGACGG